rnacentral:rRNA from 1 species
UACGAAGGGGGCUAGCGUUGUUCGGAUUUACUGGGCGUAAAGCGCACGUAGGCGGAUCGUUAAGUCGGGGGUGAAAUCCUGGAGCUCAACUCCAGAACUGCCUUCGAUACUGGCGAUCUUGAGUCCGGAAGAGGUGAGUGGAACUCCUAGUGUAGAGGUGGAAUUCGUAGAUAUUAGGAAGACACCAGUGGCGAAAGGCGGCUCACUGGUCCGGUACUGACGCUGAGGUGCGAAGACGUGGGGGAGCAAACAGG